GUGAGUGAGAGUCUCUUUGUAAAUUUUCUUAUUUAAAAAACAUUAUACUGAUAAUAAAGAGAUGCAAAUUAAAGCUGCAAAAUAACAAUUUCCCUAUCAAAAUGAUGAAGAUCCAAUUGAUAGUUCUCCAGGUUAGUAUAGUUGUGACAAAAGAGAACCUUCACAUAGCCUUGGUGGCCUUAUUAAAUACUAUCAGUUUGGAAUGACAGUUUGGAAGUUUACACUCUAAAUCCAUUUCUCCCAAGAAUUUUGCAUCACUAGACUUACUCUACAGAAAUAGUUGCCCAACUGAGCACACAUAUAUGAACAAGGAUGCUCACUACAAUAUUUCAUGGGUACAAAGAACUAAGGAUGAUUGAAAUGUCCACCAUGAGAACUGGCUUGUUAAGUUAUGGUACAUUCGUUCCAAAACAUCCUGAAGAGCCUUUAAAAAUCUACAACAUGGUUCAGCAUAUAUUCUGUAUCCUCUCAAUAUAUGAGAUGAGGGAAGUGGGCUGGAGGAAAGGGUCACGGAUUAGCAUUCUAAUAUAAUGAUUUGAAUCUUAUUUUUAAAAACAUGAUCAGUGGGUUGAUUUCAUGAAUAGUUCACAGAGUUAUUAUACAAAGGAAACAUCUGCUAGGAUUCACAACAAAAUAUAAGCAGUAGCUGCUUCUAAAGAGCAGCACGUUGAGUGUGGCAGAGACGGGGAAUUUCUCCUUUCUUUUCUAACUCCACUAUUGGUUUCCCUUUGUUUUUAUAGGCCUGUGAUUUCAUAAUUCAAGAAUAUUGAUAUAUAUGCUCAGAUGGUUUAGUUUACUUCUUUUCUGGAAAAUUCUAGAAUUUGCAGAUUCUCCUAGGUGAGUGUCACCAUAUCUGGAAAUUGCAGCAUUUACUAUUCCGUACUGAUCCUGCUACUUUCUUUCGGUGAUUUUUUUAUUUCAGGCUCCCCAAAUCCCUGGAAAUAAUGGCAUCCUCUCAAUCUAGCUUUUCCAUCCUGCUCCAUUCCUCCAUUAACUCUACCUAUGUCACAGGCAAGCCUUUGGGGAUUCUCAUGCAAAAAACAGGAUGAUAUUCCCACCCUCACUUCCAAACUCUCAUCAUGGCAAAACUCGGCAAAUUUUAUCUCCAGUAAUAACGAUUGAUGAGCUACCAUUAUAUGAGAACCAUUGUUGAUGGAGUUACCAUUGUGGCUCAGCAGAAAUGAAGCUGACUAGUAUCUAUGAGGACGUAGGUUCAAUCCCUGGCUUUGCUCAAUGGGUUAAGGAUCUGGUGUUUCCAGUGAGCUAUAUGGUUGGGUCGCAGAUGAAGCUUGGAUUUGGUGUGGCUGGGGCUGGGGGCAAAAGCUGCAGCUCUGAAUCGAUCCCUAGCCUGGACUUCCAUAUGCCACAGAGGCAGCCCUAAAAAGACAAAAAAACAAACAAAAAAAAAAUCACCUGAGAAGCUUUAAAAGCAAAGGUGCUUAGGAGUUCCCAUCGUGGCUCAGUGGUUAACAAAUCCGACUAGGAACCAUGAGGUUGUGGGUUCCAUCCCUGGCCUUGCUCAGUGGGUUAAGGAUCUGGCGUUGUCAUGAGCUGUGGUGUAGGUUGCAGACCCGGCUCGGAUCCUGUGUUGCUGUGGCUCUGGCAUAGGCCAGUGGCUACAGCUCCGAUUCAGCCCCUAGCCUGGGAACCUCCAUAUGCCACGGGAGCGGCCCUAGAAAUGGCAAAAAGACAAAAAAAAAAAAAAAAAAAAAAAAAAGCAGAGGUGCUUAGACUAUGGCCAGACUAACUAAAACUAAGCCUUUUUAGAACCGUAUCUAAUCCUUUAUAAGAAAGAUAAAGACACUGAUCAGCAGAGAGGAUGAAUUACUUGCCAAAGAUCAUUCUUGUGCUGAUUGGAAGAUGUGUUAUUGACCAGAUUUUAAUUGCUUGUCUAGGAUGCAUUGUGAUGAAUAACCCAGAGACUAGAAUUAAGCAUAAAUUUGCUAUUAAAAUUAGAAAACCAGGAGGUAUAUUUUUCUAUCCCAAGACAUAUAUUGCUUGAAAAGUACCUUUGUUGAUAUUUGUCCAGGUUAGUCCAAUAUUAGAAAAAUAAAUCUCAUGUUGCCUUGAUUAUAAGUAAAUGAUUUCUCAGAACAUUGUGUCUAGAAGACUUUAAUUGCCCUAGUAGCUUCUGUCAUAACUCAUCAGCCCGUCAGACAUACCAAUGGGAAGGCUCAAUGGUAGAUUUAAAUGUCUUAAUAAAAGAAUAUUAUAACAACCUGUAUUAUCUAUGUUUAUAGCUCAGAAUUUAUAUUAGGCCAGAAAAGUAGUUUUUAAAAUCAUCCCCAUAUAUUUAAAUCUAGAAAACCAUCUAAAAUUAAUCAAAUUCCCACAGGGAUUAAUGAACAAGUCUUAAUUUUUUUAAUUUUUCUGCAAAAAAAUCCCAGGGCAAAUUAUUAUGAAUUAUUAUGAAUAUUUGAGAGCCAGAGUUUGCUAUUGAUGGUUUUCAGGCAAAAUUCUAAACCUUCUCUUGCAGUAGCCCAGCUUCCAGAUCUGAGGUACCUGCUUCCUGAAGCCCGUGUCAUAAAUAAUACUCCCAGUGGAUUAAGCGAAUUGUUAGGGGCAAAGACUCUUUAAAAAGGAUUAACUCUUUGGGAUAGCGUUCAUCAAAUACGUCUUAAUCCAAACAUGGCUCGAGCUAGUACAAAACGUCACAACACAUGAAAGGAAGAAAACUGCAUGGUAGCAUCUGACACACUCAGCGUCCACAGAAAUCUGGAAGUCCAUCUCUAGCACUUGCCAUAACAUGUGUAGAUCAGCCAUUCUAAAAAUACGGGAAUUAUCUUUGAUCAGCUGCUGCUUUUUGUUUUUUCAGAGAAAGCAUCAAUCCUGAUGAACUUUUCAAAAUCCUCCAUGAACAAUAUAGAUAAUCUAGAUUCCAGCUUUAAAUAGUAAGUACUCAGUUUCCUUCUCUUUGAAUAAGGACGCUUUAGUCACUGCCUUGGGUGAAUUCAUUACCUUGCAGUUGUUUUGUUUUAAAAAUUCAUUGUUUUGGUUUAUGUUUGUUUAUUGUUUUUCCACGUGAGGAAAUAGUUAACUUAAAAACGAGUUACUCUUGGUGUAGAUGGGGCAGCCUCGUUAAAUCUCUCAGAACAUUAAUUUCUCCAUCUUUUAUUUUCCUUUCAAUAAAAUGAUAAACCCUGUGGGUCUUUGCCUGAGCUAGACAAUGUGGCAUUUAUUUAUUCAAAAACAGUGCCCGAGAACCACCUAAAAAAGUUUCUAAAUUCCUUAAUAAUAUUAUCCUAAUCCAUCAUGUUGCUUGCUAUUUGCAUAGUCAUUUCAUUGGAUAGUUUAUGAUAAAUGGAAGGGAAAGGAUUUUCUUACACUGCCAUUUUUCACAAGGCUCGCUUUCUUAUUAGAACAGCAUUCAAGGCAGUUUCCUUCUGAGACCCCUUCAGUUAGUUCCAACUUGCUAAAGAGAUGAGGGGCUGUCCCAGCAGCCUGCUUAUCUUAUAUACUGUCUGUCCUCCUCAGCCAAGCUCCCUCCCACGUUGACUCCCCAAAGACCAUCUUCUGGAAGAAGUAAUCAUGAAACAUCUCCUUCGAGUCUAUGCAGCCAAGAGCACAAGGGCCCAAAGCCCUUGUCACAUCCAAAGCCUCAGGAGUUAUUUUACUUCAUUUGUCACCUCUUCCCAAGUACCUUAUGACUAAUAUGGCCUGUCCAAACAUCCCACAGCAUAUUCAUCAAUGGCUAGAGAAUAAGUAUUUCUAUGGGUUGAAUUAUGCCCUGCCCCCAAAUUUGUAUGUUGAAGUCCUGUCCCCCAGAACCUCAGAAUGUGACUGUAUUUGGAGAUAAGGUCUUUAAAGAGGUAAAGAAGGUAAAACGAGGU
ensembl:lncRNA